UCCCUCCGUCCCCUGCACCAGAACGACCGCGGAAGCCAUGGCCUCGCCGAGGAAAGAGGCGGUGCCCGCAAGUACUACUGCGUCGCGGCGGCUCGUUCGCCGGCGCGCGCGUGCAUCGGUACGACGGUUUGCAGCUCUCCGUCGAACCUGGUGCCCACGUUGCGCGCGCGGCGGGCCGGGGCUGCUUCACCCGGCGAGGUGGUGCCGGCCUAGCGGACGCGGAGGCGCAGCUCCGCCGUUCUGCCCUCCGUCUCCACCGAGGCCCAGACCGUGGCAUUCGCCGCCCCCUGCUCCGGGACGCCGACGUGCAGAGCAACAGGAGGAGGUGCGAGGCGUCCUAGCUGUAGUCCCGCCGGUCCAGCAGCUUCUCCCUCACAUCCCUUGCAGCUACCUUGGAGGGGCAACAGUUUCCAGACUGAAAGAUUGAGCGGGAGGAGCUAUUCUGCGUGCUGAUGGUUGGUGAACAUGUUGCACAUGCCCUGCUGCUCAGGCAUUCCAGCUGCCUGGGACCUAGACGACGACCCAAGCCUGAUGCUGCUGCAUGUCUUUAUUGACUGCAGUUCUACCAUAGUGAGUACAGCCCAAGGAGGUCGUGAAGGCGAGGAUGGGGUGUAG